rnacentral:misc_RNA from 1 species
UUAACUAUUGUAUAGUACUCAGACGACAUUAACAUUCAGAGUUUGGGGUUCUCUGGCGGGCACACACUAGCCGGAGCCAGCAGCAGGCCGAGGCCUGACGGCCCGCCAAAGCAACAUAGGUAUAAAAUACACAAGGGUGGGAGGUCUACCCCUAAGGGCAUGAACUCUGUAAUGAUCCCUCCGCAGGUUCACCUACGGAGA